CUACGCACUCCUACGGGGGCAGCAGUGGGGAAUAUUGCACAAUGGGCGCAAGCCUGAUGCAGCCAUGCCGCGUGUAUGAAGAAGGCCUUCGGGUUGUAAAGUACUUUCAGCAGUGAGGAAGGUGGGUAUGUUAAUAGCAUAUUCAUUUGACGUUAGCUGCAGAAGAAGCACCGGCUAACUCCGUGCCAGCAGCCGCGGUAAUACGGAGGGUGCGAGCGUUAAUCGGAAUUACUGGGCGUAAAGCGCAUGCAGGUGGUUUGUUAAGUCAGAUGUGAAAGCCCGGGGCUCAACCUCGGAAUUGCAUUUGAAACUGGCAAACUAGAGUACUGUAGAGGGGGUAGAAUUUCAGGUGUAGCGGUGAAAUGCGUAGAGAUCUGAAGGAAUACCGGUGGCGAAGGCGGCCCCCCUGGACAGAUACUGACACUCAGAUGCGAAAGCGUGGGGAGCAAACAGGAUUAGAUACCCUGGGAG
rnacentral:rRNA from 1 species